CAUUCAAUCAACUUUUGUUUUAGUAAUUACAUUGACUCAAAAUUAAUCCAAAGCAGUCUAAGCUAAUAAUCAACAACAUUUGAGUUUUCUAACAGAAAAAACACUUCCAAAUUAGUGUAAUAUGUCCUGCUUCAAGAAACUCAUUAACGGAAGGCAAACUGCACUAACAGAGCCCAGAAGCUGACAGUUUAAGCUGUUUUUUUCCUCUUAGCAAAAAUUCAAUCCUAACAGUUUGAACCCUAAUUUCUAAUAGUAUGUUAAGCUUAACUAAUCCCACAUUUUAAUGUCCAUUCAACAAAUCAUAACUACAUUAAUUGUUAAUGCAUUUGCAAACCAAUUGAUGGUUCAUGGAUUGAAGUAAUAACCCACAGUUCAUAACAGAAUAACUGAAUUCGAACCAAACUAACUCAGAGUUGCAAUUAACAUUUUUGCACCUUCCAACUAGCAUCCAUAACUAACUUCUGCAUUUGAGAUUCAUUUGAGGUGAAUUUCAAUUGAAUUUUUAAUCGAAUCACAACCUAUAUAUACCAUAAUCAUCAAUUCAUGAAAGGGGAUACACAGUCAUUGCUCAAUCUUUAUCUUCUUCACUAUCUCUCUCUAUCCACCCUCGCAAAAACUCUCUCCUUCCAUUGUUGCUCAGAGCCUCACCUUGAAGAUCUGAAAUAACAAGAGCUAGAACCUAACCUCUCUCACUCUCACAUAGGGGUGGCAAACGGGCAUGCCCGCCCCGUUUAGGCCCGCCCCGCAAAAGCUCGCAAAAAAACGGGGCGGGGCGGGGCGGUCAUAGUUGAGGAUGUGGGCCUAAAACUUAGACCCGCCCCACAAAAAAGUGAGGGCGGGGCGGGGAAAGCCCGCGGGCACUGCAUUCUUUAAGCCUAAAAAUACAAAAAUUUAUGUAAAUACACGUGCCCGCAAAAGCCCGCGAAAAAAAUGGGGCGGGGAGGGGCGGACACAUUUGAGGGUGAGGGUCUAAAUCCUUGGCCCGACCCGCCAAAAAUAUCGGGUAAAACGGGCAUGGCCCGCGGGUCGGGCCCGUUUUACCACCCCUACUCUCACACACAGUUUGAAUCAGGAAUUCAUCCUCAUCUUCUACAGACCACAGUCACCAAGAAUAAUAAGAAGAAAGCAAGAUCAAGAAUUCAAGGAUUUCAUACCUGAAG
rnacentral:lncRNA from 1 species